UCCCUGGACACACAGCCUGAGCAGCUGGCCCUGAGGCCCAAGGAGUUUUUCCGAGCCUAUGGCAUCGAGGUGCUCACUGAGGCUCAGGUAGUCACAGUGGACGUGAGAAAUAAGAAGGUCGUGUUCAAGGAUGGCUUCAAGCUGGAGUACAGCAAGCUGCUGCUGGCACCAGGGAGCAGCCCCAAGACUCUGAGCUGCAAAGGCAAAGAAGUGGAGAAUGUGUUCACCAUCCGGACGCCAGAGGAUGCCAAUCGCGUGGUGAGGCUGGCCCGAGGCCGCAAUGUGGUCAUCGUGGGAGCCGGCUUCCUGGGGAUGGAGGUGGCCGCUUACCUGACGGAGAAGGCCCACUCUGUGUCUGUGGUGGAGCUGGAGGAGACGCCCUUCAGGAGGUUCCUGGGGGAGCGCGUCGGUCGUGCCCUCAUGAAGAUGUUUGAGAACAACCGGGUGAAGUUCUACAUGCAGACAGAGGUGUCGGAGCUGCGGGGCCAGGAGGGAAAGCUGAAGGAGGUUGUGCUGAAAAGCAGCAAGGUCGUGCGGGCUGACGUCUGCGUGGUGGGCAUUGAUGAUGCAGACCAAUGUCCCAGGCGUGUUUGCAGCUGGCGACGCCGUCACCUUCCCCCUUGCCUGGAGGAACAACCGGAAAGUGAACAUUCCACAUUGGCAGAUGGCUCAUGCUCAGGGGCGCGUGGCAGCCCAGAACAUGUUGGCGCAGGAAGCGGAGAUGAGCACUGUGCCCUACCUCUGGACCGCCAUGUUUGGCAAGAGCCUGCGCUACGCGGGCUACGGAGAAGGCUUCGACGACGUCAUCAUCCAGGGGGAUCUGGAGGAGCUGAAGUUUGUGGCUUUUUACACUAAAGGCGACGAGGUGAUCGCCGUGGCCAGCAUGAACUACGAUCCCAUUGUGUCCAAGGUCGCUGAGGUGCUGGCCUCAGGCCGUGCCAUCCGGAAGCGGGAGGUGGAGACUGGCGACAUGUCUUGGCUUACGGGGAAAGGAUCCUGACCUCACAUGCAGUAGACUUGGGCAGGCAAAGGGGGGCACCAGGGGCAGAGGCCAAGCCUUGGGAGCAGGUGCCAAUCUCCAGUCCCAGGAUCCCCCAGGGCAGAACCUGAGCCCUCCUAGUGCUUGCCUUCAGCCACCUGGCUCCCCUCCUGGGAGGCCUCUGCUGGAUCCAGAAGAUGCUCAACCCUCAAGGCCUCUGCUGCCACUGACAGCUGGCACUGGAGGCAGGACAGGCCCUGCCUCUUCUCCCUCUAUUGGGACUGGUCCCCUGAAGAACCCUGCAACAUGUUAGACAUUACCGUAAAAUUAAAACGCACAAAUUUGCA
rnacentral:sRNA from 1 species